rnacentral:rRNA from 1 species
AGAGUUUGAUCCUGGCUCAGGACGAACGCUGGCGGCGUGCUUAACACAUGCAAGUCGAGCGGAAAGGCCCUUCGGGGUACUCGAGCGGCGAACGGGUGAGUAACACGUGAGCAACCUGCCCUAGGCUUUGGGAUAACCCUCGGAAACGGGGGCUAAUACCGAAUAUUCACUCACGGGCGCAUGUUUGUGGGUGGAAAGUUUUUCGGCUUGGGAUGGGCUCGCGGCCUAUCAGCUUGUUGGUGGGGUAAUGGCCUACCAAGGCGACGACGGGUAGCCGGCCUGAGAGGGCGACCGGCCACACUGGGACUGAGACACGGCCCAGACUCCUACGGGAGGCAGCAGUGGGGAAUAUUGCACAAUGGGCGGAAGCCUGAUGCAGCGACGCCGCGUGAGGGAUGACGGCCUUCGGGUUGUAAACCUCUUUCAGCAGGGACGAAGCGCAAGUGACGGUACCUGCAGAAGAAGCGCCGGCCAACUACGUG